rnacentral:rRNA from 1 species
UACGGAGGGAGCUAGCGUUGUUCGGAAUUACUGGGCGUAAAGCGCACGUAGGCGGCUAUUCAAGUCAGAGGUGAAAGCCCGGGGCUCAACCCCGGAACUGCCUUUGAAACUAGGUAGCUAGAAUCUUGGAGAGGUCAGUGGAAUUCCGAGUGUAGAGGUGACAUUCGUAGAUAUUCGGAAGAACACCAGUGGCGAAGGCGACUGACUGGACAAGUAUUGACGCUGAGGUGCGAAAGCGUGGGGAGCAAACAGG